rnacentral:rRNA from 1 species
AGAUGGCGACCGGCGCACGGGUGAGUAACACGUAUCCAACCUGCCGAUAACUCGGGGAUAGCCUUUCGAAAGAAAGAUUAAUACCCGAUGGUAUAAUCAGACCGCAUGGUCUUGUUAUUAAAGAAUUUCGGUUAUCGAUGGGGAUGCGUUCCAUUAGGCAGUUGGUGAGGUAACGGCUCACCAAACCUUCUAUGGAUAGGGGUUCUGAGAGGAAGGUCCCCCACAUUGGAACUGAGACACGGUCCAA